rnacentral:rRNA from 1 species
AUUGAACGCUGGCGGCAUGCCUUACACAUGCAAGUCGAGCGGCAGCGCGGGGGCAACCCUGGCGGCGAGCGGCGCACGGGUGAGUAAUGCAUCGGAACGUGUCCUCUUGUGGGGGAUAACCAGUCGAAAGACUGGCUAAUACCGCAUGAGCUCGUAAGAGGAAAGCAGGGGACCGCAAGGCCUUGCGCGAGAGGAGCGGCCGAUGCCGGAUUAGCUAGUUGGUGGGGUAAAGGCCCACCAAGGCGACGAUCCGUAGCUGGUCUGAGAGGACGACCAGCCAGACUGGGACGGAGACACGGCCCAGACUCCGACGGGAGGCAGCAGUGGGGAAUUUUGGACAAGGGGGGCAACCCUGAUCCAGCCAUGCCGCGUGUGUGAAGAAGGCCUUCGGGUUGUAAAGCACUUUCGGACGGAAUGAAAUCGCGCGGGCGAAUAUCCCGCGUGGAUGACGGUACCGUAAGAAGAAGCACCGGCUAACUACGUGCCAGCCGCCGCGGUAAGAC